UAGGGAAUCUUCGGCAAUGGACGAAAGUCUGACCGAGCAACGCCGCGUGAGUGAAGAAGGUUUUCGGAUCGUAAAACUCUGUUGUUAGAGAAGAACAAGGACGUUAGUAACUGAACGUCCCCUGACGGUAUCUAACCAGAAAGCCACGGCUAACUACGUGCCAGCAGCCGCGGUAAUACGUAGGUUGCAAGCGUUGUCCGGAUUUAUUGGGCGUAAAGCGAGCGCAGGCGGUUUCUUAAGUCGGGUGUGAAAGCCCCCGGCUCAACCGGGGAGGGUCAUUGGAAACUGGGAGGCUUGAGUGCAGAAGAGGAGAGUGGAAUUCCAUGUGUAGCGGUGAAAUGCGUAGAUAUAUGGAGGAACACCAGUGGCGAAGGCGGCUCUCUGGUCUGUAACUGACGCUGGGGCUCGAAAGCGUGGGGAGCAAACAGG
rnacentral:rRNA from 1 species